AGAUGCUAUCAUAUCACAACACUAAUACACCAAAUCCCAUCCGAAGUUAAGCAAGCUUAGAUAAGAGUAGUACUAGGAUGCACGACCCCUAGAAAGUUCUCGCGUUGCAUCCC
rnacentral:rRNA from 1 species